GUGGCAAAAGAGUGGGAAGAGCUUUGAGUAGAGGUGAUAAACCUACCGAGCACAGUGAUAGCUGGUUGCCUGGGAAAUGAAUAGGAGUUCAGCCCUUUAAGUUCUUCCCCCCCCCGUCACCUAUGCCUACGCUAGAAUUGAUUAAGGAAACUAAAGGAGUUAAUCAAAAGGGGUACAGCCCUUUUGAUAAAAGAAACAACUUUAACAGGUGACCCAAGAUCAUAUUAACCAAGGAUUUCAAAUUAAGUGGGCCUAAAAGCAGCCAUCUUGCCAGAAAGCGUUAAAGCUCAAAUUAGACAUCAUCCUCAUAUACUGAUACCACAUCUCCCUCCCUGCCCCCUAC
rnacentral:rRNA from 1 species